rnacentral:lncRNA from 1 species
AUGGAACCAUGCUAUUUUGUAAAGUUUGGAGAUGGCUGGAUAGGACUGUAGGUGGUGAUGGGGCGAUGGUGAAAAUGAAAAAUGGAGAAGGAGAGAUCGAUUCAGAUAUAGCUGAUCCGAUUCAAUCUGAUCCAUCUUUGGAGCCCAAUUUGAUCCAACCUGAGAUGGCUAUGGGAUGGAGAUGGGUAUAAAAUUUUAUUUAUGGGAU